rnacentral:misc_RNA from 1 species
AACGCACGAGACCUGCGGACCUGCGGAGGGAUCAUUAAUGAGAAGCUGCCCCUCGUGGGUAGACCUCCCACCCCCUGUGAACUUACCUUUGUUGCUUUGGCAGGCCCGUCCUCUGGACCGCCGGCUUCGGCUGGCCCGUGCCUGCCAGAGGAUUCCAAACCCUGUCUGUCAGUGUUGUCUGAGUCUAUAUGAAAUCGUUAAAACUUUCAGCAACGGAUCUCUAGAUCGGAAGAGCACACG